rnacentral:rRNA from 1 species
AUUGAACGCUGGCGGCAGGCUUAACACAUGCAAGUCGAGCGGGGGAGGUUGCUUCGGUAACUGACCUAGCGGCGGACGGGUGAGUAAUGCUUAGGAAUCUGCCUAUUAGUGGGGGACAACAUUCCGAAAGGAAUGCUAAUACCGCAUACGCCCUACGGGGGAAAGCAGGGGAUCUUCGGACCUUGCGCUAAUAGAUGAGCCUAAGUCGGAUUAGCUAGUUGGUGGGGUAAAGGCCUACCAAGGCGACGAUCUGUAGCGGGUCUGAGAGGAUGAUCCGCCCCACUGGGACUGAGACACGGCCCAGACUCCUACGGGAGGCAGCAGUGGGGAAUAUUGGACAAUGGGCGGAAGCCUGAUCCAGCCAUGCCGCGUGUGUGAAGAAGGCCUUUCGGUUGUAAAGCACUUUAAGCGAGGAGGAGGCUCUUAAGGUUAAUACCCUUGAUGAGUGGACGUUACUCGCAGAAUAAGCACCGGCUAACUCUGUGCCAGCCGCCGCCGUAAAAC